UACGAAGGGGACUAGCGUUGUUCGGAAUCACUGGGCGUAAAGCGCACGUAGGUGGAUUUGUAAGUCAGGGGUGAAAUCCCGGGGCUCAACCUCGGAACUGCCCUUGAUACUGCGGAUCUUGAGUCCGAUAGAGGUGGGUGGAAUUCCUAGUGUAGAGGUGAAAUUCGUAGAUAUUAGGAAGAACACCGGUGGCGAAGGCGGCCCACUGGAUCGGUACUGACACUGAGGUGCGAAAGCGUGGGGAGCAAACAGG
rnacentral:rRNA from 1 species